rnacentral:tRNA from 1 species
GCUGGCGUAGCUCAGCGGUAGAGCGGCUGGAUUUGUAAUCAGCGGGUCGGGGGUUCAAUUCCCUCCGCCAGCUCCA